rnacentral:misc_RNA from 1 species
UUUUGCGUUUUUUUUUUUUUUAAUUUCUAUUUUUAUUUUGAAUAUGUUUCUUCUUUUGACAAAAAUUAUAGUGGAGUUUGAACUUAGUGAAUUAGGAUUUCCUUAUAUAGCAAGGAGCUGUUUUGUGAAAUUUAUAUAUAGAAGCUUUUGUGGAAUUUUGCCUAGUAACCCGAAGAAAAAUUUGAAGGGAAAGGGCUUUUGGCAUUUACACAAUUUAAGGCUGAAUAGUAGUUUGUAAAUAGUGAUUUGUUAAUGAAUAUUGGGAAGCUCUUGCAUGUUAUGAGGAUUGUUGCACUCAUUUCAUAUAGGUUUUUGUGGCAAAUUGAGGGUCAAUGAGUGCAUUAGAAAGUGAUUUGAAGAAAUUUGGUGCUCCUUGAGCAUGGAGGAAAGUUAAAGAAAUCAAGCAUUGAAAGAACAAGUUAACCGAAAUUUACUUGAGACUUUACUUAUGAUGUUGCUUAAGAUCCUGUUAGAGAUCCUGCUUAAGGUAAGCAGCAGUACUUAAGGUGCAGUACAGGUCAAGU